AAGACUAUACUUUCAGGGAUCAUUUCUAUAGUAUGUUACUAGAGAAGUUUCUCUGAAUGUGUAGAGCACCGGAAACCACGAGGAGGAGACGUAGUGUUCUUUCCUGAGCGUGAAGUUGGCUUUUGGUGUUGCAUUAGUGCAAUUGCCAUUUGCCGUUGAUGAUCGUUCUUCUCUCUUUUCGGGGGAGUAAGAGGGAAAGAACACAGUCUGAGUGGUU
ensembl:snoRNA